GGAAAGGUUAACUGUUACUCCUCUCAGUUCCAGACAGGACAGGUUAGAGUGUUACUUCCUCUGUAAAGGGUGUAGCGUAAAGGGUGUAGGGUAAAGGGUGUAGGGUAAAGGGUGUAGCGUAAAUGGUGUAGGGUAAAGGGUAUAGGGUAAAGGUUGUAGUGUAAAGGUGUAGCGUAAAUGGUGUAGGUUAAAGGGUAUAGGGUAAAUAGUGUAGGGUAAAGGGUAAAGGGUAUAGCGUAAAUGGUGUCGGGUAAAGGUUGUAGUGUAAAGGUGUAGUGUAAAUGGUGUAGGGUAAAGGGUAUAGGGUAAAGGGUAUAGCGUAAAUGGUGUCGGGUGAAGGGUGUAGGGUAAAGGGUAAAGGGUGUAGUGUAAAGGGUGUAGCGUAAAUGGUGUAGGGUAAAGGGUAUAGGGUAAAGGGUGUAGGGUAAAGGGUGUAGCGUAAAUGGUGUAGGGUAAAGGGUAUAGGGUAAAGGGUGUAGUGUAAAGGGUGUAGCGUAAAUGGUGUAGGGUAAAGGGUGUAGGGUAUAGGAUAAAGGGUGUAGGGUAAAGGGUAAAGGAAGAAGGGUGUAGUGUAUAGGUUAAAGGAAGAAGGCUGUAAGGUAAAUGGUUUAGGGUAAAGGGUGUAGGGUAUAGGGUUUAGGGUAAAGGGUGUAGGGUAAAUGGUUUAGGGUAAGGGGUGUAGUGUUUAGGGAGUAGGGUGAAGUAUUUAGGGUGUAGGGUGUAGGGUGAAGUGUUUAGGGAGUAGGGUGAAGUGUUUAGGGAGUAGGGUGAAGUGUUUAGGGAGUAGGGUGAAGUGUUUAGGGUGUAGUGUUGAAGUUGUUUAGGGAGUAGGCUUGACGUGUUUAGGGUGUAGGGUGAAGUGUUUAGGGUGUAGGGUGAAGUGUUUAGGGUUGUAGGGUGAAGUGUUUUCGGGUGUAGAGUAGGGCGUGUAGGGUGAAGUGUUAGGAGGUUAGGGUGA
ensembl:lncRNA